rnacentral:rRNA from 1 species
CCGUUGUACACACCGCCCGUCACGCCAUGGAAGUUGGGGGGACCUGAAGCCGGUGGGCUAACCCGCAAGGGAGGGCAGCCGUCAAAGGUCAAUCCAAUGACUGGGCG